GNNAGCUGGNGGCGUGCUUAACACAUGCAAGUCGAACGAUGAAGCCCUUCGGGGUGGAUUAGUGGCGAACGGGUGAGUAACACGUGGGCAAUCUGCCCUUCACUCUGGGACAAGCCCUGGAAACGGGGUCUAAUACCGGAUAACACCUGCCCGGGCAUCUGGGUGGGUUAAAAGCUCCGGCGGUGAAGGAUGAGCCCGCGGCCUAUCAGCUUGUUGGUGAGGUAGUGGCUCACCAAGGCGACGACGGGUAGCCGGCCUGAGAGGGCGACCGGCCACACUGGGACUGAGACACGGCCCAGACUCCUACGGGAGGCAGCAGUGGGGAAUAUUGCACAAUGGGCGAAAGCCUGAUGCAGCGACGCCGCGUGAGGGAUGACGGCCUUCGGGUUGUAAACCUCUUUCAGCAGGGAAGAAGCGAAAGUGACGGUACCUGCAGAAGAAGCGCCGGCUAACUACGUGCCAGCAGCCGCGGUAAUACGUAGGGCGCAAGCGUUGUCCGGAAUUAUUGGGCGUAAAGAGCUCGUAGGCGGCUUGUCACGUCGGGUGUGAAAGCCCGGGGCUUAACCCCGGGUCUGCAUUCGAUACGGGCUAGCUAGAGUGUGGUAGGGGAGAUCGGAAUUCCUGGUGUAGCGGUGAAAUGCGCAGAUAUCAGGAGGAACACCGGUGGCGAAGGCGGAUCUCUGGGCCAUUACUGACGCUGAGGAGCGAAAGCGUGGGGAGCGAACAGGAUUAGAUACCCUGGUAGUCCACGCCNUAAACGGUGGGAACUAGGUGUUGGCGACAUUCCACGUCGUNCGGUGCCGCANCUAACGCAUUAANUUCCCCGCCUGGGGGANUACNGGCNGCAGGGCUAAAACUCAAAGGAAUUGACGGGGGNCCCCCCAACCAG
rnacentral:rRNA from 1 species